rnacentral:lncRNA from 1 species
GUGGACUGGACGGGCGUCUGUAGCGUUUGGACCCCGUCCUCAUCUUCUGCGCUGCUGCCCCGAGACGGCGCGAGGUCUCGGGCGGUGACCCUGACGUCUUGUCCGAAUUCUCGGUACGGAUCCAAAUACCCUGUUUUUGCUUUUGGUCUGUCCCUGAAUACUCCGUGUUCGCGCUAGGGAAGAAGAGGACUCGAGGCCGAGUGGCUCCGGCUGGGAUUCCUACCAGCAAGGCUCUAGCGUUGUGGGACCCUCUCCCCUCCAGCAUCUGCAGCUUCCCGUUGCCUGUUGCAGCACAGUGGGUCUUGACCGAACUGCUGGACUGAACACUACAAAUGAAUGCAAGUCUCACCUCACUUGGUUUGCGGACCGGAAACCUCGAAGCUUGGCCCCUUGCUGAUCCUAAGGGUUUGUGGGUUUCUCAUGAAAUGCACUGCCAAAACCCAGGAGGGCCGGAGAGGCAGGGAUGAGCCCAGUUGAGCAGGAAGUGGACAGGACCUUCUAGAUGAUCUGACUUGUUUCUUACAGGUUGGCCCCUACGUGGGGUGAAGCGUCUUGUCUCUCGCCUUUGCUCCAGCUCUAGCUGCAGGAUGAACUGUCGAUCAGAAGUGCUGGAGGUGUCGGUGGAGGGGCGGCAGGUGGAGGAGGCCAUGCUGGCCGUGCUGCACACAGUGCUGCUUCACCGCAGCACAGGCAAGUUUCACUACAAGAAG